rnacentral:tRNA from 3 species
GGGCGAUUGGCUCAGUUGGUAGAGCGCCUCGUUCACACCGAGGAGGUCAUCGGUUCGAGUCCGGUAUCGCCCAC